UAUACCGUGAAACUGCGAAUGGCUCAUUAAAUCAGUUAUCGUUUAUUUGAUAAUACCUUACUACUUGGAUAACCGUGGUAAUUCUAGAGCUAAUACAUGCUGAAAAUCCCGACUUCGGAAGGGAUGUGUUUAUUAGAUAAAAAACCAAUGCCCUUCGGGGCUCCUUGGUGAUUCAUGAUAACUUUACGGAUCGCAUAGCCUUGCGCUGGCGACGGUUCAUUCAAAUUUCUGCCCUAUCAACUUUCGAUGGUAAGGUAUUGGCUUACCAUGGUUUCAACGGGUAACGGGGAAUUAGGGUUCGAUUCCGGAGAGGCAGCCUGAGAAACGGCUACCACAUCCAAGGAAGGCAGCAGGCGCGCAAAUUACCCAAUCCCGACACGGGGAGGUAGUGACAAUAAAUACUGAUACAGGGCUCUUUUGGGUCUUGUAAUUGGAAUGAGUACAAUUCAAAUCUCUUAACGAGGAACAAUUGGAGGGCAAGUCUGGUGCCAGCAGCCGCGGUAAUUCCAGCUCCAAUAGCGUAUAUUAAAGUUGUUGCAGUUAAAAAGCUCGUAGUUGAAACUUGGGCCUGGCUGGCGGGUCCGCCUCACCGCGUGCACUCGUCCGGCCGGGCCUUCCUUCUGAAGAACCUCAUGCCCUUCACUGGGCGUGCUGGGGAAUCAGGACUUUUACUUUGAAAAAAUUAGAGUGUUCAAAGCAGGCCUUUGCUCGAAUACGUUAGCAUGGAAUAAUAAAAUAGGGCGUGCGUUUCUAUUUUGUUGGUUUCUAGAGACGCCGCAAUGAUUAACAGGAACAGUCGGGGGCAUCAGUAUUCAGUUGUCAGAGGUGAAAUUCUUGGAUUUACUGAAGACUAACUACUGCGAAAGCAUUUGCCAAGGAUGUUUUCAUUAAUCAGUGAACGAAAGUUAGGGGAUCGAAGACGAUCAGAUACCGUCGUAGUCUUAACCGUAAACUAUGCCGACUAGGGAUCGGGCGAUGUUCUUUUUCUGACUCGCUCGGCACCUUACGAGAAAUCAAAGU
rnacentral:rRNA from 9 species